rnacentral:rRNA from 1 species
UACGUAGGGGGCAAGCGUUGUCCGGAAUCAUUGGGCGUAAAGCGCGUGUAGGCGGUUCGGUAAGUCGGCUGUGAAAGUCCAGGGCUCAACCCUGGGAUGCCGGUCGAUACUGCCGGACUAGAGUUCGGAAGAGGCGAGUGGAAUUCCCGGUGUAGCGGUGAAAUGCGCAGAUAUCGGGAGGAACACCAAUGGCGAAGGCAGCUCGCUGGGACGUUACUGACGCUGAGACGCGAAAGCGUGGGGAGCAAAAAGG